CCUUCGGUUGUAACCGCUUUGUCGGGAAGAAACGGUCUGAUCUAAUACAUCGGACUAAUGACGGUACCUGAAGAAUAAGCACCGGCUAACUACGUGC
rnacentral:rRNA from 1 species